CUCUUGAGUGGAUCCUGAGUACGACGGAGCACGUGAAAUUCCGUCGGAAUCUGGGAGGACCAUCUCCUAAGGCUAAAUACUCUCUAGUGACCGAUAGUGAACCAGUACCGUGAGGGAAAGGUGAAAAGCACCCCGGAAGGGGAGUGAAAUAGAACCUGAAACCGUGUGCUUACAAGUAGUCAGAGCCCGUUAAUGGGUGAUGGCGUGCCUUUUGUAGAAUGAACCGGCGAGUUACGAUUUGAUGCAAGGUUAAGCAGUAAAUGUGGAGCCGUAGCGAAAGCGAGUCUGAAUAGGGCGUUUAGUAUUUGGUCGUAGACCCGAAACCAGGUGAUCUACCCUUGGUCAGGUUGAAGUUCAGGUAACACUGAAUGGAGGACCGAACCGACUUACGUUGAAAAGUGAGCGGAUGAACUGAGGGUAGCGGAGAAAUUCCAAUCGAACCUGGAGAUAGCUGGUUCUCUCCGAAAUAGCUUUAGGGCUAGCCUCAAGUGAUGAUUAUUGGAGGUAGAGCACUGUUUGGACGAGGGGCCCCUCUCGGGUUACCGAAUUCAGACAAACUCCGAAUGCCAAUUAAUUUAACUUGGGAGUCAGAACAUGGGUGAUAAGGUCCGUGUUCGAAAGGGAAACAGCCCAGACCACCAGCUAAGGUCCCAAAAUAUAUGUUAAGUGGAAAAGGAUGUGGCGUUGCCCAGACAACUAGGAUGUUGGCUUAGAAGCAGCCAUCAUUUAAAGAGUGCGUAAUAGCUCACUAGUCGAGUGACACUGCGCCGAAAAUGUACCGGGGCUAAACAUAUUACCGAAGCUGUGGAUUGUCCUUUGGACAAUGGUAGGAGAGCGUUCUAAGGGCGUUGAAGCAUGAUCGUAAGGACAUGUGGAGCGCUUAGAAGUGAGAAUGCCGGUGUGAGUAGCGAAAGACGGGUGAGAAUCCCGUCCACCGAUUGACUAAGGUUUCCAGAGGAAGGCUCGUCCGCUCUGGGUUAGUCGGGUCCUAAGCUGAGGCCGACAGGCGUAGGCGAUGGAUAACAGGUUGAUAUUCCUGUACCACCUAUAAUCGUUUUAAUCGAUGGGGGGACGCAGUAGGAUAGGCGAAGCGUGCGAUUGGAUUGCACGUCUAAGCAGUAAGGCUGAGUAUUAGGCAAAUCCGGUACUCGUUAAGGCUGAGCUGUGAUGGGGAGAAGACAUUGAGUCUUCGAGUCGUUGAUUUCACACUGCCGAGAAAAGCCUCUAGAUAGAAAAUAGGUGCCCGUACCGCAAACCGACACAGGUAGUCAAGAUGAGAAUUCUAAGGUGAGCGAGCGAACUCUCGUUAAGGAACUCGGCAAAAUGACCCCGUAACUUCGGGAGAAGGGGUGCUCUUUAGGGUUAACGCCCAGAAGAGCCGCAGUGAAUAGGCCCAAGCGACUGUUUAUCAAAAACACAGGUCUCUGCUAAACCGUAAGGUGAUGUAUAGGGGCUGACGCCUGCCCGGUGCUGGAAGGUUAAGAGGAGUGGUUAGCUUCUGCGAAGCUACGAAUCGAAGCCCCAGUAAACGGCGGCCGUAACUAUAACGGUCCUAAGGUAGCGAAAUUCCUUGUCGGGUAAGUUCCGACCCGCACGAAAGGCGUAACGAUUUGGGCACUGUCUCAACGAGAGACUCGGUGAAAUCAUAGUACCUGUGAAGAUGCAGGUUACCCGCGACAGGACGGAAAGACCCCGUGGAGCUUUACUGUAGCCUGAUAUUGAAAUUCGGCACAGCUUGUACAGGAUAGGUAGGAGCCUUUGAAACGUGAGCGCUAGCUUACGUGGAGGCGCUGGUGGGAUACUACCCUAGCUGUGUUGGCUUUCUAACCCGCACCACUUAUCGUGGUGGGAGACAGUGUCAGGCGGGCAGUUUGACUGGGGCGGUCGCCUCCUAAAAGGUAACGGAGGCGCUCAAAGGUUCCCUCAGAAUGGUUGGAAAUCAUUCAUAGAGUGUAAAGGCAUAAGGGAGCUUGACUGCGAGACCUACAAGUCGAGCAGGGUCGAAAGACGGACUUAGUGAUCCGGUGGUUCCGCAUGGAAGGGCCAUCGCUCAACGGAUAAAAGCUACCCCGGGGAUAACAGGCUUAUCUCCCCCAAGAGUUCACAUCGACGGGGAGGUUUGGCACCUCGAUGUCGGCUCAUCGCAUCCUGGGGCUGUAGUCGGUCCCAAGGGUUGGGCUGUUCGCCCAUUAAAGCGGUACGCGAGCUGGGUUCAGAACGUCGUGAGACAGUUCGGUCCCUAUCCGUCGUGGGCGUAGGAAAUUUGAGAGGAGCUGUCCUUAGUACGAGAGGACCGGGAUGGACAUACCUCUGGUGUACCAGUUGUCGUGCCAACGGCAUAGCUGGGUAGCUAUGUGUGGACGGGAUAAGUGCUGAAAGCAUCUAAGCAUGAAGCCCCCCUCAAGAUGAGAUUUCCCAACUUCGGUUAUAAGAUCCCUCAAAGAUGAUGAGGUUAAUAGGUUCGAGGUGGAAGCAUGGUGACAUGUGGAGCUGACGAAUACUAAUCGAUCGAAGACUUAAUCAA
rnacentral:rRNA from 1 species